rnacentral:rRNA from 1 species
CCUACGGGGGGCUGCAGUGAGGAAUAUUGCGCAAUGGGGGCAACCCUGACGCAGCAACGCCGCGUGAGUGAGGAAGGUUUUCGGACCGUAAAGCUCUGUCGAGCGGGAAGAAAUGCAUAGUGGCUAAUAUCCAUUAUGCUUGACGGUACCGCUAAAGGAAGCACCGGCUAACUCCGUGCCAGCAGCCGCGGUAAUACGGGGGGUGCUAGCGUUGUUCGGAAUCAUUGGGCGUAAAGAGCGUGUAGGCGGCUUGAUAAGUCGGAUGUGAAAGCCCUGGGCUUAACCCAGGAAGUGCAUUUGAAACUGUUCAGCUUGAGUAAGGGAGAGGAAAGUGGAAUUCCUGGUGUAGAGGUGAAAUUCGUAGAUAUCAGGAGGAACACCGGUGGCGAAGGCGACUUUCUGGCCCUAUACUGACGCUGAGACGCGAGAGCGUGGGUAGCAAACAGGAUUAGAUACCCUAGUAGUCUGG